rnacentral:rRNA from 1 species
GUGAGGAAUAUUGGUCAAUGGACGGAAGUCUGAACCAGCCAUGCCGCGUGCAGGAAUAAGGUCCUAUGGAUUGUAAACUGCUUUUAUUCGGGAAUAAACCUCUUUACGUGUAGGGAGCUGAAGGUACCGAAGGAAUAAGCACCGGCUAACUCCGUGCCAGCAGCCGCGGUAAUACGGAGGGUGCAAGCGUUAUCCGGAAUCAUUGGGUUUAAAGGGUCCGCAGGCGGGCUAUCAAGUCAGAGGUGAAAUCCCACAGCUUAACUGUGGAACUGCCUUUGAAACUGAUGGUCUUGAAUUAAGUGUGCGUUGGCGGAAUAUGACAUGUAGCGGUGAAAUGCAUAGAUAUGUCAUGGAACACCGAAAGCGAAGGCAGCUAACGAUACUUAUAUUGACGCUCAUGGACGAAAGCGUGGGUAGCGAACAGGAUUAGAAACCCUGGUAGUCC